GACGAACGCUGGCGGCGUGCCUAAUACAUGCAAGUCGAACGCUUUUUCUUUCACCGGAGCUUGCUCCACCGAAAGAAAAAGAGUGGCGAACGGGUGAGUAACACGUGGGUAACCUGCCCAUCAGAAGGGGAUAACACUUGGAAACAGGUGCUAAUACCGUAUAACACUAUUUUCCGCAUGGAAGAAAGUUGAAAGGCGCUUUUGCGUCACUGAUGGAUGGACCCGCGGUGCAUUAGCUAGUUGGUGAGGUAACGGCUCACCAAGGCAACGAUGCAUAGCCGACCGGGGAGGGGGAUCGGCCACACGGGGACUGAGACACGGCCCAGACUCCUACGGGGGGCAGCAGUAGGGAAUCUUCGGCAAUGGACGAAAGUCUGACCGAGCAACGCCGCGUGAGUGAAGAAGGUUUUCGGAUCGUAAAACUCUGUUGUUAGAGAAGAACAAGGAUGAGAGUAAAACGUUCAUCCCUUGACGGUAUCUAACCAGAGAGCCACGGCUAACUACGUGCCAGCAGCCGCCGCAG
rnacentral:rRNA from 1 species